AGCUUUCCCUUCCGUGAGCUGCAGGGGGGUAUUUGAAAAAAAAUUCCCACGAUUUCAGCGGGUAUUUGAAAAAAAAAAUCCAAAUCAAUCUCUCCCCAAAAAAUUCCUCCGCUCUCCCCCCUCCCCACGAUUUCAGCCUCCGCUCUCCCCCCUCCCCACGAUUUCAGCCUCCGCCACGACACCGGCGACUCACAUCCGGCGCCAUCCGUCGACACCGCCGCACCCCGUGCCAGGACCAUAUCGGGAUCCCCUUCUUCUCUCCUUCUCAUCUCUUCUACGCCGCCACGAGAUCCAUCCCUCAGGAGUUCGGAAUGGAGGAAACAAAUUCCACUAGUGUAGAGUUUGGAAUGGGAGAAUCAAGUGCUAUUGGAAGUGAAAUUACGGUCAAUACUGUAAAUUCUCCUAAACCACUAAUAGGAAUGAAGUUUAAUAGUUAUGAAGAAGCUUAUAACUAUUAUAACUCUUACGCAUCGUUGAUGGGUUUUGGAAUAAGGAAGAGCACGGUAAAUCACUCUCGCAAGACUAGAGAAGUGGUAGACAGAAAGUUGGUUUGUGAUAAGGAGGGCUACAGAUCUAAUAGAGACAAGAUAGAGAUUAAUUUAUUAAAAUCUUGGGCUUUAAGAGCAAAAUUUAAUAAUGUGCUCGAGCUUGCAUUUGAUUCAAAAGAGAAGAUGCAAAAACUAGAUGAUGUGCUAACAAAUUUCAUAGAAUCACUUGAAGAAGAAGUUGGAGAAACUCAAGAUCAAAUGGUGGAUAUUCCUCAUGUUUUCGCACCCAUAUCACAUACAAUGGAGCACAUUCCUCAGAUUACAGUUCGUGAUCCUGAUAGACCUGCAAGGACCAAAGGUCGUCCACGCAAUGCUACUAGAAUCCAGUCAAGUUUAGAGCAAACACAAGAGAAGAAAGAAAGGAAGAAACGUAUAUGUAGCAGAUGUGGUGAACUCGGGCAUUAUAGAACUAGUUGUAAAGUCAACUUGCCAAGCUAAACAUGUUGCUAGAUACUUGUGGCGUUUCUUGAGCAAAGGUUGUUGGAUUUGUUCAAGUAAAGGUUGUUGGAGCAUAGGUUGUUGGAGCAAACUUUGAAAAUAUUGGAUCAAAACCUUUUGCAGAGAGCAAGACAUGGUUGGUUGCAAAUUUUCCUGUUUUGAAACAUGAAAAUGACUCUAAUUUGUGAGAACACCUGGAUGUAACUUUGGAUGAUGUAACUUGGAUUUCUUCCUUUGCUGUUUUGGAUUUCUUUUCCAGUAAUCGGUAUUUUUCUGUUGGGUAUUUUUUUUGAUAAAUUAAUGGGUAAACUGCAGUGUUUGUGGCA